rnacentral:rRNA from 1 species
UAACGAAUCUUCCGCAAUGCACGAAAGUGUGACGGGGCAAUGCCGCGUGUGGGAUGAAGCCCUUAGGGGUGUAAACCACUGUCAGGGACUACCAACAACAUGAGGAGUCCCAAAGGAAGAGCCGGCUAACUCUGUGCCAGCAGCCGCGGUAAUACAGAGGGCUCGAGCGUUAAUCGGAAUCACUGGGCUUAAAGCGUGCGUAGGCGGAUUUGAAGGCGCUUUGUGAAAUCCCUCGGCUCAACCGAGGAACUGCUUGGCGAACCACAAAUCUUGAGGCUGGUAGAGGUGGUCGGAACAAUAGGUGGAGCGGUGAAAUGCGUAGAUAUCUAUUGGAACACCGAAGGUGAAGACAGGCCACUGGGCCAGUCCUGACGCUGAGGCACGAAAGCGUGGGUAGCAAACGGGAUUAGAUACCCCGGUAGUCCACGCCGUAAACGAUGCGCACUUGGUCGAGGGGGUUGAACGCCUUCUCGGCCGUAGGAAAACUGAUUAGUGCGCCGCCUGGGGAGUACGGUCGCAAGAUUA